UGAGUAACCUGCCCUUGACUCUGGGAUAAGCCUGGGAAACCGGGUCUAACACUGGAUAUGACCUUCUGGCGCAUGCCAUGUUGGUGGAAAGCUUUAUUGCGGUUUUGGAUGGACUCGCGGCCUAUCAGCUUUGGUUGGGGGGGUAAUGGCCUACCAAGGCGACGACGGGUAGCCGGCCUGAGAGGGUGGACGGCCACACUGGGACUGAGACACGGCCCAGACUCCUACGGGAGCAG
rnacentral:rRNA from 1 species